rnacentral:lncRNA from 1 species
CUAGGUCAUCUCUUCCUUCUCCCCUCACUCAAACCCUUAAAACCCUAGACGAAGAGCCCUUCGAUCACUAUCUCCACGAACCCCUCCCACCUCGACGCCCUCCAACUUCGCGACCUCCUCCUCUUCUGCGGCCGUUCCGAGCCCGUCGAUGCAUGCAAGCUUCGCCGCGCCCUCGCCCACAGCGUCGUCGUCAUCUCCAUCUUUUGCAGGGCCCGAUUCUUAGACCGGGAUGACGAGCGCGAUGGUCUAGGGUUAGGGUUAGGGUUUGAAGAGCUUCUGGAGAGGGCGUUCACCGGUUGGUGGGGUUUGGGAGGGCGGUUUCGGAUGGCGGCCUCACCGCUUCGAUUCAUGAUGUCAUGGUAAUAUUUUGCUUCAGAUCGCACUUAAAAUUUGUCCAAUUUAUACUGUUUUUGGUGACGAUAUUUUGCUUAUUUUGAGUAUGGUUGCUGGAAUUGAUCGUUUCUAGAGAGUUUCUGUGGAUAGAUUUUGAUGAUUAGUUAUGAAAUUUGUGUAGUUUGAGGCAUAAUUCGUAAUAAAGUGGCUAUCUUAACAUUGUGCAAAAAAGUGCUAUGUUGUGCUUCUGAAAAUAAGGUUCAUUAAAGAGUAAACCCUUUGACUAACUGUAUUGUGUGGGCUCUUUGAUUUGUCCUGUUUUUGUGAUAUAGUUUAAAAGAUAAUUUAUGUUAUUAGCCACAUAACCAAUAGGGCAUGUAAACAACUUAUCUGUAGAGAGCUUUCUGCCUGAACUGAGAGACUAUGCAUGCCAAAAGUGAUGAUCAAGGUAACUUAUGACCAAAAAUAUAAGUUUAUAACUAGCCAAGAAGAGAAUCUUGUUGUUGCGAACUAAAAGAUUGUAGAGCAAUUGAUAGUGUUUGUUUACGUCUAAAUUUUUUCAGUCCUACGGAUGUUUUUCUGUAGACAUAUCAUUGGCAACACUUUACAAUAAUAAGGCAUUGUAUGCAUGGGUUGGUGAAGAUGUAGUGAAAAUGAUUGCUAUUUGUAUGUUUUCAUACAUGAAAACUGAAGCUCUCUAUAGAUCUUUUCUAGUAUGAAUUUGAUUAUUAAUUAUUUUAUUUUGUAACUUAUAUGAUUUUCUCCAUGGUUGCUUAACUGCUCUGCUUCGGUCAUGGACUAAACAACAAUAGGAUGCAGCAGAACAAUGUACUAUGGUGGAGUUUCUUCUACUGGAUCCCAAAGAGGAAAACACACCGAGGGCAUGUUUGUUUCAUUGAAACAGGACUUUGGGUUGAAGUGAAGUUCAGUAAAUACUUCUUCCCCAUUGUUUGUUUCGUAGUUAUAGAAGUAAAGUUUUAUUAGUUCUGUUGUUUGUUUUGUAGGAAGUGUAUGAAGUAAAA